AUUCCUACGGGAGGCAGCAGCAGGGAGUUUUGCGCAAUGGGCGAAAGCCUGACGCAGCAACGCCGCGUGAGGGAUGAAGGCCUUCGGGUUGUAAACCUCUUUUAUCAGGGAAGAAUAAUGACGGUACCUGGUGAAUAAGUCACGGCUAACUACGUGCCAGCAGCCGCGGUAAUAAU
rnacentral:rRNA from 1 species